rnacentral:rRNA from 1 species
AUACGUGGGGUGCAAGCGUUGUCCGGAUUUAUUGGGCGUAAAGGGCUCGUAGGCGGUCUGUCACGUCGGAUGUGAAAACUCGGAGCUCAACUCCGGGCCUGCAUCCGAUACGGGCAGACUAGAGUUCGGUAGGGGAGAUUGGAAUUCCUGGUGUAGCGGUGGAAUGCGCAGAUAUCAGGAGGAACACCGAUGGCGAAGGCAGAUCUCUGGGCCGAUACUGACGCUGAGGAGCGAAAGCGUGGGGAGCAAACAGGAUUAGAAACCCGAGUAGUCC